rnacentral:rRNA from 1 species
AUUGAACGCUGGCGGCAUGCCUUAAACAUGCAAGUCGAACGGUAACAGGUCUUCUGAUGCUGACGAGUGGCGAACGGGUGAGUAAUACAUCGGUACGUGCCUAGUAUUGGGGGAUAACUACUCGAAAGAGUGGCUAUUACCGCCUGAGAUCUACGGAGGAACGCAGUGGAUUCCAAGACCUUGUGCUACUAGAGCGGCCUAUGGGAGAUUAGGUAGUUGGUGGGAUUAAAGCGUACCAAGCCGACGAUCUGUAGCUGGUCUGAGAGGACGAUAAGCCACACUGGGACGGAGACACGGCCCAGACUCCUACGGGAGGCAGAAGGGGGGAAGUUUGGACAAGGGGCGCAAGCCUGAUCCAGCAAUGCCGCGAGCAGGAUGAAGGCCUUCGGGUUGUAAACUGCUUUUGUACGGAACGAAAAGCCCUGGGUUAAUACCCUGGGGUAAUGACGGUACCGUAAGAAUAAGCACCGGCUAACUACGUGCCAGCCGCCGCGGUAAAAC